rnacentral:lncRNA from 1 species
CACAGAAACCGAACACACACUGGCAUCUCUGAUUGUUCUUGUUUUUUUAAACUCUUUUUUCCUAUCUUUUUGUUUGUUUUCACCUGGGACUACCACUUUUGGAAUAGCUCAUACAAUAUUACUCAUAUCUUCUUCCAUAGAUCAGCUGUGACUGUUGCCCCUCCAUCAGUGGACUAUGCCCCCUUCAGUCAGCUGAGGGAGGGGGCUCUGUACUGCUCAGGCUCCCAUCUGGAGAAGGCUGGGGCUAAAAUCAAAGCGGAGACGGUUAGGUUAUUGCUGAAGAUGCAAUCUUCAACUGUCUCAACUGUGACCACCACAGUAACUUCCAACUCAACCAAGUCCAAAGAACAAAUUCUCAUUCAGAGUUCUGGGGCUAUGAUUGCUGUCAUCGUCAUAGGUAUCAUCAUUAUUCUUGCCAUUGUACUGCUGAUCCUGAAGACAUACAACAGGCGGACACAUGCAUCCAGAGUCCUGGGAGCCAGCCAAGGCUCCAAACCUCGUCCAAAGAUGUCACAAUCUACAGUUCAGAGCAGCAUUCCGCUGAGCACAAUAGGAGCCACCUCUGUGUCUGAAAGCAUCACUAAUUCAAACCCAGCCUCAGAGAACGGCUUCCAGCUGCCCAGAACGGAGUUUAACAGCACGGAGGCAAACCACAUAGAGCAGUCCGGCACCAGUGAAUCGACUGUGGCCACUAUACAUAACACUUCUUCAUUAGGAAACACAUAACACCAAGACUGUGGUUUAGUCUCACAACAGGGAUUGACUGAUGUGUUGUCUUUAUCCGUGACCACGUACUGUGUGCUGACUGAAUUCUGUGGAAAGUCGAUCCGUGACGUCAGUGUUGUCACUGUCAAUCUCCACCAACUGAGCCACUGCUGGUAACUAUCCAUUCAUGUAAAAUACAUUAUGAACAAAAUGGUACUAGAAACAGAGACAGAAACAGGUUUGCAUGAAGGAUGUUGCAUGAUGGAAAAUUGAAACUUUGUUGUGGAAGAACUGCUCUUUGGCCACAGUCAGUGUUCAGAGUACAGAUGCCAUAAGUUUCUUAUUGUUUGUUCUUUUAAUAUUCGAUCACUGCUAACACAAUGAAAGCAAAUGUGUAGUGAAGACUGGAAAGGCUUGCACAUUUCUGUAUUAAAAGGAACCAGGUUCAUGAGUAAAUCUAGAUUUAUUAAAAACAUUAAAAAAAAGUCAAAGUCAGUAUGAUGGUAGCUAAAUCAGUAUAAUUGAGGAAAAUGUUUUUUCAAAUGUAUUUUGACCAAUUAUACUUUGCUUACAAAGCUCAGUUUACUUUGCAUCAUACUCCCUUUGUCUUUUUUUCCAUAGAUUCUCUUAGUUUUUGUUUAAGAAAUUUGUAAAAUGUCAGUGUGUUAAUUUUUUUUUAACAUGUAGAUAUUUUGUGAAACAUCUGAAUGUCAGUGAAACACGCUGAUGAAAGCCCUUUAAUGCAAGAGGAUUUUGCACUUUAUUUCUUUUUCUCUGUGUUUUUGUGUUUAUCUGUGGUUCUUUAUGAAAUGAAACAAGAUGAAAAUAAAUAUCUUAUUU